rnacentral:rRNA from 1 species
UACAGAGGUCUCAAGCGUUGUUCGGAUUCAUUGGGCGUAAAGGGCGCGUAGGCGGCUCGGCACGUCCGUUGUGAAAUCGCCCGGCUCAACUGGGCGGGGUCAGCGGAUACGGCCGAGCUGGAGCAAGCUAGGGGGUAAUGGAAUUCCCGGUGUAGUGGUGGAAUGCGUAGAUAUCGGGAGGAACACCAGUGGCGAAGGCGGUUACCUGGAGCUUUGCUGACGCUGAUGCGCGAAAGCGUGGGGAGCGAUCCGG